UACGUAGGGGGCUAGCGUUAUCCGGAAUCAUUGGGCGUAAAGCGCGCGUAGGUGGCCUCAUAAGUCCGCUGUGAAAGUCAAAGGCUCAACCUUUGAAAGCCGGUGGAUACUGUGAGGCUAGAGUACGGAAGAGGCGAGUGGAAUUCCUGGUGUAGCGGUGGAAUGCGCAGAUAUCAGGAGGAACACCAAUAGCGAAGGCAGCUCGCUGGGACGUUACUGACACUGAGGCGCGAAAGCGUGGGGAGCGAACAGG
rnacentral:rRNA from 1 species